GCUGAGAUGCGAAAGCGUGGGGAGCAACAGGAUUAGAUACCCUGGUAGUCCACGCUGUAAACGAUGUCGAUUUGGAGUUUGUUGCCUAGAGUGAUGGGCUCCGAAGCUAACGCGAUAAAUCGACCGCCUGGGGAGUACGGCCGCAAGGUUAAAACUCAAAUGAAUUGACGGGGGCCCGCACAAGCGGUGGAGCAUGUGGUUUAAUUCGAUGCAACGCGAAGAACCUUACCUGGUCUUGACAUCCAUAGAAUUCUGCAGAGAUGUGGGAGUGCCUUCGGGAACUAUGAGACAGGUGCUGCAUGGCUGUCGUCAGCUCGUGUUGUGAAAUGUUGGGUUAAGUCCCGCAACGAGCGCAACCCUUAUUCUUUGUCGCCAGCGAUUUGGUCGGGAACUCAAAGGAGACUGCCGUUGAUAAAGCGGAGGAAGGUGGGGACGACGUCAAGUCAUCAUGGCCCUUACGACCAGGGCUACACACGUGCUACAAUGGCGUAUACAAAGGGAAGCGAAGGUGCGGGCUGGAGCGGAUCUCAUAAAGUACGUCUAAGUUCGGAUUGGAGUCUGCAACUCGAAUCCAUGAAGUCGGAAUCGCUAGUAAUCGUAGAUCAGAAUGCUACGGUGAAUACGUUCCCGGGCCUUGUACACACCGCCCGUCACACCAUGGGAGUGGGUUGCACCAGAAGUAGAUAGCUUAACCGCGAGGGGGGCGCUUACCACGGUGUGAUUCAUGACUGGGGUGAAGUCGUAACAAGGUAACCA
rnacentral:rRNA from 1 species